rnacentral:rRNA from 1 species
AACGAACGCUGGCGGCAUGCCUAACACAUGCAAGUCGAACGAGAACUUCGGGUCUAGUGGCGCACGGGUGCGUAACGCGUGGGAACCUUCCCUUAGGUUCGGAAUAACUCCCCGAAAGGGGUGCUAAUACCGGAUAAUGUCUUAGGACCAAAGAUUUAUCGCCUUUGGAUGGGCCCGCGUUGGAUUAGCUAGUUGGUAGGGUAAAAGCCUACCAAGGCGACGAUCAAUAGCUGGUCUGAGAGGAUGAUCAGCCACACUGGGACUGAGACACGGCCCAGACUCCUACGGGAGGCAGCAGUGGGGACUAUAGGACAAUGGGCGAAAGCCUGAUCCAGCAAUGCCGCGUGAGUGAUGAAGGCCUUAGGGUUGUAAAGCUCUUUUACCCGGGAUGAUAAUGACAGUACCGGGAGAAUAAGCUCCGGCUAACUCCGUG